rnacentral:rRNA from 1 species
UACGUAGGGGCCUAGCGUUGUCCGGAUUUAUUGGGCGUAAAGAGCGUGUAGGCGGUCCGGUAAGUCAGCUGUGAAAGUCAAGGGCUCAACCCUUGAAAGCCGGUUGAUACUGUCGGGCUAGAGUACGGAAGAGGCGAGUGGAAUUCCUGGUGUAGCGGUGGAAUGCGCAGAUAUCAGGAGGAACACCAAUAGCGAAGGCAGCUCGCUGGGACGUUACUGACACUGAGGCGCGAAAGCGUGGGGAGCGAACAGG